rnacentral:miRNA from 1 species
UGCUGGUACUUGUAGAGACUC